GUCGAGCGAACAGAUAAGGAGCUUGCUCCUUUGACGUUAGCGGCGGACGGGUGAGUAACACGUGGGUAACCUACCUAUAAGACUGGGAUAACUCCGGGAAACCGGGGCUAAUACCGGAUAAUAUUUUGAACCGCAUGGUUCAAUAGUGAAAGACGGUUUCGGCUGUCACUUAUAGAUGGACCCGCGCCGUAUUAGCUAGUUGGUAAGGUAACGGCUUACCAAGGCGACGAUACGUAGCCGACCUGAGAGGGUGAUCGGCCACACUGGAACUGAGACACGGUCCAGACUCCUACGGGAGGCAGCAGUAGGGAAUCUUCCGCAAUGGGCGAAAGCCUGACGGAGCAACGCCGCGUGAGUGAUGAAGGUCUUCGGAUCGUAAAACUCUGUUAUUAGGGAAGAACAUAUGUGUAAGUAACUGUGCACAUCUUGACGGUACCUAAUCAGAAAGCCACGGCUAACUACGUGCCAGCAGCCGCGGUAAUACGUAGGUGGCAAGCGUUAUCCGGAAUUAUUGGGCGUAAAGCGCGCGUAGGCGGUUUUUUAAGUCUGAUGUGAAAGCCCACGGCUCAACCGUGGAGGGUCAUUGGAAACUGGAAAACUUGAGUGCAGAAGAGGAAAGUGGAAUUCCAUGUGUAGCGGUGAAAUGCGCAGAGAUAUGGAGGAACACCAGUGGCGAAGGCGACUUUCUGGUCUGUA
rnacentral:rRNA from 1 species